rnacentral:rRNA from 1 species
UACAGAGGGUGCUAGCGUUGUCCGGAAUCAUUGGGCGUAAAGAGCGUGUAGGCGGCUUGGUAAGUCCGCUGUGAAAGUCCAGGGCUCAACCCUGGAAUGCCAGUGGAAACUGCCAAGCUAGAGUCCGGAAGAGGCGAGUGGAACUCCUGGUGUAGCGGUGAAAUGCGCAGAUAUCAGGAAGAACACCAAUGGCGAAGGCAGCUCGCUGGGACGGUACUGACGCUGAGACGCGAAAGCGUGGGGAGCAAACAGG